rnacentral:rRNA from 1 species
CCUACGGGAGGCAGCAGUGAGGAAUAUUGGUCAAUGGCCGCAGGGCUGAACCAGCCAAGUCGCGUGAGGGAUGACGGUCCUAUGGAUUGUAAACCUCUUUUGUCAGGGAGCAAAGGGCGCCACGUGUGGCGUUUUGCGAGUACCUGAAGAAAAAGCAUCGGCUAACUCCGUGCCAGCAGCCGCGGUAAUACGGAGGAUGCGAGCGUUAUCCGGAUUUAUUGGGUUUAAAGGGUGCGCAGGCGGAAUGUCAAGUCAGCGGUAAAAUUUCGGGGCUCAACCCCGUCGUGCCGUUGAAACUGGCGGUCUUGAGUGAGCGAGAAGUAUGCGGAAUGCGUGGUGUAGCGGUGAAAUGCAUAGAUAUCACGCAGAACUCCGAUUGCGAAGGCAGCAUACCGGCGCUCAACUGACGCUGAUGCACGAAAGCGUGGGUAUCGAACAGGAUUAGAUACCCGAGUAGUC